GAUGAACGCUGGCGGCGUGCCUAAUACAUGCAAGUCGAGCGAACGGACGAGAAGCUUGCUUCUCUGAUGUUAGCGGCGGACGGGUGAGUAACACGUGGAUAACCUACCUAUAAGACUGGGAUAACUUCGGGAAACCGGAGCUAAUACCGGAUAAUAUUUUGAACCGCAUGGUUCAAAAGUGAAAGACGGUCUUGCUGUCACUUAUAGAUGGAUCCGCGCUGCAUUAGCUAGUUGGUAAGGUAACGGCUUACCAAGGCAACGAUGCAUAGCCGACCUGAGAGGGUGAUCGGCCACACUGGAACUGAGACACGGUCCAGACUCCUACGGGAGGCAGCAGUAGGGAAUCUUCCGCAAUGGGCGAAAGCCUGACGGAGCAACGCCGCGUGAGUGAUGAAGGUCUUCGGAUCGUAAAACUCUGUUAUUAGGGAAGAACAUAUGUGUAAGUAACUGUGCACAUCUUGACGGUACCUAAUCAGAAAGCCACGGCUAACUACGUGUCAGCAGCCGCGGUAAUACGUAAGUGGCAAGCGUUAUCCCGGAAUAUUGGGCGUAAAGCGCGCGUAGGCGGUUUUUUAGUCUGAUGUGAAAGCCCACGGCUCAACCGUGGAGGGUCAUUGGAAACCGGAAAACUUGAGUGCAGAAGAGGAAAGUGGAAUUCCAUGUGUAGCGGUGAAAUGCGCAGAGAUAUGGAGGAACACCAGUGGCGAAGGCGACUUUCUGGUCUGUAACUGACGCUGAUGUGCGAAAGCGUGGGGAUCAAACAGGAUUAGAUACCCUGGUAGUCCACGCCGUAAACGAUGAGUGCUAAGUGUUAGGGGGUUUCCGCCCCUUAGUGCUGCAGCUAACGCAUUAAGCACUCCGCCUGGGGAGUACGACCGCAAGGUUGAAACUCAAAGGAAUUGACGGGGACCCGCACAAGCGGUGGAGCAUGUGGUUUAAUUCGAAGCAACGCGAAGAACCUUACCAAAUCUUGACAUCCUUUGACAACUCUAGAGAUAGAGCCUUCCCCUUCGGGGGACAAAGUGACAGGUGGUGCAUGGUUGUCGUCAGCUCGUGUCGUGAGAUGUUGGGUUAAGUCCCGCAACGAGCGCAACCCUUAAGCUUAGUUGCCAUCAUUAAGUUGGGCACUCUAAGUUGACUGCCGGUGACAAACCGGAGGAAGGUGGGGAUGACGUCAAAUCAUCAUGCCCCUUAUGAUUUGGGCUACACACGUGCUACAAUGGACAAUACAAAGGGCAGCGAAACCGUGAGGUCAAGCAAAUCCCAUAAAGUUGUUCUCAGUUCGGAUUGUAGUCUGCAACUCGACUACAUGAAGCUGGAAUCGCUAGUAAUCGUAGAUCAGCAUGCUACGGUGAAUACGUUCCCGGGUCU
rnacentral:rRNA from 1 species